UAGAGCGCGUGACGAAAAUUCAUAUUUCUAGCAGUAGGUAGCAUCCAGAGAACAUUAGACAGGAGUUGCUGAGUUAAUUAGAAAUGUAUAUUUGAUACCUAGUCUGAACAGGGCCCUGCACGCUGCUAAGGCUUAAUAAUUGAUUUGUAAUUUAUUUGCCCAUUAAUUCUUCCUCUUUCAGAGCGAAGCCAGGAGCUCGCGCACGCUCGUCCAUCAUCCUGGCCGGCAGCGCCGCAGCCCCUUCUCCCACAGAGCUGUCGGGGUGACAGACUGGAGCCUCGUGCAGGCUGUAAUUAGUUACUUACUUCAGAAGCUUUUUAUAGGAGACUGCGUGCCUCUCGAGAAAGAUUAACAAAGGGUUUAUUUCCUGCGGGCUUGGGCCGCGUGUCAGCAAAACCCAGGCUCCAGAAAUUAUUGAUUCGCUUUCCAUAAGGUUUGCAUUUUCAAGGUCUGUAUCUAGGUCCUAGUUUUCAAGCCUUCUACUGCAAAGCAGAUUAGAAGCCCCCAUUGCCUUCCAGAGAAAAAGAGAGUUUCCCAGUUAACUGGGAGGCCCUGAGAUCCUGGAAACCAGCGGCAGCUCGCGUAGACCUGUGGACACGGAGACAUCCAGGAGCACUAAGACAAACAAGCGAAAUACCAGCAGGAUAGAACAAGGCGCAAACUACAGCUGGCAAGCAGAAAAGUACUUCAAAUUGUCAAGAUUGACAUUUCACGGAGGUAAUGAUGACAUUUUUCAUAAAGAAACAUACAGCUCCCAGUCUUGCUGGGAGGGAGAGCCCUUUGUUUCUGCCCAGUGCUGCAGGGCAGAAGCAACCACCUCCCCUCCCAUCUCAGCAGUGCUUGUCCUCUUUCCACUGGCCUGAAAAGCUCUGGCUGUGAGAAAGUGCUCUAAAUAUACAGACAAUAAGGAGAGAAAAAGAGAUGAGCGUGGGCAGGAAUGGGGUAGGAAUGGCACCUCCCAACAUGGGCAUGGCAGAGACAUGGCAAAACCCUUAACAGGCCCAGAGACAGCUUUGGCAGGAUCAAGGCCAUAGAACAAGCCAAUGUUCAUGUGUGAAUUCUUACACAGAGCUGCUGCUAUAAAUAAGGAUGAUGGGUUGAUUGCCAUAAAUCAUAACCCUGCUGACAUCCCAGAGCUCUCACAAGCAGCAGGGAUGCUCACGUGGCUGGUUGUUCUCCCUUGGCAGAGUCAGGAGAGAGAUUAGUCAUUCAUUGUGUUUCCUGAAACCGCCUCCUCCACAAGACAAUGUCUUGAAGAGAAGGAAGAAUUUGAAGCUCCUUGUGAAAAAGGUUAUGACAGGUCUUAAUCCUCGAGUUCCCCAGAUUCAUAGGAUCGAGUACUCAUACUCUUGCAGAAAGUGUUGCCAUCAGCAAGGUUACUUUCGGCAGAAGAAAAUGAGAACGCAAAUCCUCUUCCUUUGAGGUUAAAACCCUCAUUUCUACUGUGUUUGGUAGGAUGACACAUGUAAGGUAGCCUUGUGCUCUGGACCAGAUGAAAGAAAGUAUAUUGGUUCCCACCAGAGCUGGGUUCACCCUCAACUGCAGGCUGACCCCGUGCAACAAACACGCAGGACUGCUGCAGGCAAGAGCUACGGAGCAGGAUUAGCUCUGUGUUCUCCUCUCACACAGCGAUGGCAUCACCCUGGAGGAUGAUCCACCUCAACAGCACAGAAACCCCACCCAGGGCUUUCUGUGGAGGCACAGUGUGGUUUAAUGUUUACAACCUGGGGCUGCACAAAACCACCUGGAUCCUUUGUUUGAUCUGUCUGCAACUUCCUUGACUUCAACAGUGUUGCUCCUGAUUUACAUCCCUGUGAAGAUAUGACAACCUCAUCCUGGACAAGGUCCUUCUGCAGAGCACCAGCAGCUGAAACCCAACAGCCCCAGGGACUGCUCCCCUCCUCUGAGACCUUUGAAGCCUUUUCUGCACACGUACCUUUCUUAAAGUUCAAAACGUUGUAGGCAUAAAUCCUUCUCCUCCCUUCCAUGCUGCUGAAAGUUUGCUCCCAGCUGUAUAUUUUUAGAUUUUAAAAAUGUCACCCUCAACCGCUCUGAGCACACGUAAGUAUUGUAAGAAACAAACCAUAUAGACUUCCUGUCAAUAACACCAGCCUCAGAUGGACUCCCUGCAGCCCUGGCAGAGUAAAUUAUAGCCUUUCCCUCUCAAAUGAUGCUUGGCUGCUUAUUAUUGGCUUUCAUCUUUAUUGCCUCUUAAGGUAAAAUGGUUGGAGUGACAACAGCAAAUAGCUGGCCACAAAUUGUCUCUCCUGCCAACCUUCCUCCCGCUUGUCAGCAGGCUGAGAUGCUCAGAGAGCCCCCAGCACCCAGCAAGGACGCUGAAAUGGGCUGCGUGCGCUCUACCAAGCCAUCCUUCUGAAAUCCUACCCACCUCUCCUCCUGACCCAGUCCCUGUAGGGUCUGAGUAACGUAGGAGGGCCACACACACUGGACCGUUGGCCCUAUUUCACCUUCUCGCUUACAGCACUACAAUGUUUUAGUGCGUGAGAGAGCGUCCCAUAUUAGACACCAGUGAAUCCACAGCUAGCUGGGUGAUGCAAAUGGCUCUACGUGUGGGGAAUGUCUAACGAAGAGCCUGAAACGUGUGGUGAGAACUUCUGAUGUGCUUGAAGGAAUUGCCUGUCACCAGUCCUCUUCCAUGGGGCCAGGUAGAGAGCUUCAGUUGGAAGAGGUGGGAAUUUCCAGCAGAGGAAGUUGGGAGAGGCAGUGGUUACCUAAGAAGAAACAAGAUUUAUCAGGUCGUAAGCCCAGAUAUUUCCAGGCAGGGGUUAAUCCAUGGGGUCUUUAGGGACCCACCUCCACCCUCCAGAUAGCAGGAAAUUGUGCACAGCACGUUCUUUGCCAUAAGGAGGGAAACAUUUUUGGAGCAGGAACAAACAGGUCAGAGCAAGCUUUUCUCAUCCAACCAGAGUCUGACGGGAGGAUCCGGUUUCAGAGGAUUAGGUAAUGUCUUCGGAUCGCCCAGGAACCCACGGCUUGAUGUGUCUGCCCAGGCAGCGAGCUGGGAGGGGAAGCAGAUGUUGAUGACCAUGGACACACGGGAGCAGCUCUCUCAACCUGGCGCCACUCAGCCUUCUCCUUUACUGACAGCGCGUGGGCAGGGAUGGACUAGGAAUAGAGCAGGGAUGGAGGAGGAAUGGAGGAGGGAUGGAACAGAGGUGGGACAGGAAUGAAGCAGGGGUGGCAGGCCUUGGCUACUGACUGAUGGGGAGGCAGUGCCAUCCUUCCCUGCUCAUCCUGUGGCACAAGGUGGUCUGAGUCCACCUGGCUGCAAGUCCGGGGAUGAGGAGGGUUUUUUUCCCCUUGCUGGGCUGGUGGGACACUGCAGGGGCAAAGAUUUCAUCUGUCUGCAGCACAUGGCAUAGCCCACUCCCAGACUCUACCUGGACAUUGGAGACCGCCUUCCCUGACGUCAAUGAUGAAGCCUUCCAGAUCCUCCAGCCUCUCCAGGUGGCACAGUGUCCUUAGGACACCACCACCCUCCAACGAUAGUGGCAGUGUCUUUCCUGCUCCUUUCCCACCACGAUCAGCAGAGGUGGAAAGCAACCCCUUGAGCAGGGAGAAAGGGGCAAGGAGCCCCAGGAAGGGGGUUUGCCAAGUUCACAAGCAGCAAAGCAGGAGGGUGGUGGGAGGCUGCAGUGGGAAGACAAAGUUGGGUGAAAGAACCCUCCACGCCCCACUCCUGGCUGCCAGCUGACCUUGAUCUGGGCGAUUCCUUAUCCCUCCUCUCAUCACCAUCCCUGGCUCGCCCUGUGGUGAACUCAUACAAGGCAUCCUCCACCACGGCAAAGGAUGUGGCUGCAUUUAAUACAAGGUAUGGUGCUUUUAUCUUAUAAAUUAAAAGGUCCAGACAAAACGAACACCAAGCUCUCUGUCCUCAGGAAGCACAAUGACUCAAACACAAGCUUUUUAUAAGAAACUAAAUUCAAUUACUUGGCUGUUUUACUAAUCAGGCUUCACUACCUUUAACGGUAUCCUAGCAAACACUUGUGUCUUCAUUUAAUUUUCUUCAGCGUAAUACCUAGAAUAAAAGAAACCCAGCAGAAAGCCCGUCUGAUAACUUUAGCAAAUUCCCAUUUGACCCUCCCCCUGGGUUUUGCGUUGAGUGUUGAGUGAAUGAGCUCUAAAAGCAUCUUUUCAUUUCGUCUUUCACAGCAGAAAAUUACUGAGCCAAGAAUCAUACCUCACUUUGUCAGUAGAAAAACAAGACGUGGGCUUAGUGGAAUCGAGUUGCACUGGAGCACGAGCCCCUCCUCGUUGCAAAACUGAAGCGCGGAGGGGAUGGGGAUCACAGCCCUUCUCUUAAGGGUUUCAAAACAUUCUGCUGACACCUCACUCCAUCUCUGUCAGCGCUGGGGAUGCGUAGAAAUGAAGUGGCCGGCCUGGUGCCACCAAGAAAGAUGCAUUUCCAAAAGCGAGCGCUUUGAGCAUCAUCCGCAUCCCCUCCCAACGCAACAUCUUCCACUCUGUAUCCCCUCAUGCCCUCAGGAUGGUGUUUAGCGAGGGAAGAUGAAAUUCCCUCAUGAUCCCACACCUCCACGAGCUUGGGAUUGAAGGAAAUCUGGUAUCAGGAGGCUCCUGAGAAACCAGAGAGCUCUGGACCCCUCUGCGUGUGCCAUCCCUGAGCUUCAUGUCUCCACGCUGCUCACAGGACAAGGGCAAAUCCUGCGCACGCCCAGCCCCGAGACACAACAAAAGCCCCAAGUCCUUGCGUGAGCGAACUGUUUAUUUACACUCUAACUAUCUUCUGUUAUCAAGGAAUUGUGAGGGGAGUUAAAAGAGGCACUUUGAUCCCCGCAGAAGCCGGAGAAACAGCAAUGAGUCGACCAAGGUGCAAACCUCCUGCUGCCUCCCCAGCAGCAGAGGAAGGGGAGCAGGACGCUUGCCCGGAGCUGAUCCGAGGGCCCGGGAAAGCGCCCCUGGGUUCCAGGAGGGGUGGCAGC